rnacentral:rRNA from 1 species
UACAGAGGUCCCGAGCGUUGUUCGGAUUCAUUGGGCGUAAAGGGUGCGUAGGUGGUUUCGUAAGUCAGUGGUGAAAGCCCGGAGCUCAACUCCGGAACUGCCAUUGAUACUGCUUAACUUGAAUCAACUUGAGGUGGAUGGAAUAUUACAUGUAGCGGUGAAAUGCUUAGAUAUGUAAUAGAACACCGAUUGCGAAGGCAGUUCACUAAGGUUGUAUUGACACUGAGGCGCGAAAGCGUGGGGAUCAAACAGG